rnacentral:tRNA from 1 species
GGCCCUAUCGUCUAUCGGCUAGGACACAGGAUUCUCAUUCCUGGAAGCGGGGUUCGACUCCCCGUAGGGUCACAA